GAGGUAAGAGCAGCUUGGCUAUUGAAUUCUCCCCGUUCGCUCUCCCAUAGUCAAGCUGCGAAGCGCUGGAUUAGUAGUUGAGUCGGUGACGACCAGCGAAUCCCCGGUGUUGUAUGUU